CUUCUCUGUUGAUAUUCUCAGAUUCAAAUUACAAAUUAAGUAAUAUUCCUAGAACUUACUGCAAGAAGAAAGAAACAUCUAAAAGCUAUUAUACAGAAGAAAAAGGAAAGACAGCUGCACGAGGAAAUAACUCAAGGGCGGAGAAUACAAGAGCUAGAAGAAAGAAUUGAGAAGCAGAAAGAACCACUCAUUGUUUUGAACCAUGUCUUUCAACUGUGCGUGGCUGGUUCGGGAGUUAACUGGGCUAAGGAUCCUCAACUUAGAGAAAUAGUUCUGUCCUUGGGUAAAACUGACUAAAGUAUGUUAAACUCUAAAAAAUAAAUAUCAACAGUUUUAAGGAA